UCUUUCAUGACUUCCAUGUGCCUUUCUUUCCUCCCACCUGACCCAAUAUUCAAAUGAAACUGUCAAAAUAUGUUUUUGUUUAAUAUCCCUCAAGUAUAGGGAUUCAGUUGAAUAGGAGUACUAGUAGGGAUUCAGUUAUAUAGGAGUACUAGUAGGGAUUUAGUUAUAUAUGAGUAUUAACAGGGAUUCAAUUAUAUAGGAGUACUAAUAGGGAUUUAGUUAUAUAUGAGUAAUCAUAUGAUUUGGUUGUUUAGUAAUCUAGUAUAAAUAUAUCUGAUGUAUUACCAAUAUAUUUCAAGUUUCAAUAAAUAUAAUUUUAUUCUAAUUCUUGACAUGGUAUCAAAGCAGGUUCUGAUUUUGUGAUUUGUCUUUGUGCUUCACUAACGCUGCCGGCGGCGGCAAAUGCCGCCGACAGCACCACUUUUUUCAGUGUUUCAAUUUUUUGGCUUCAUACAGUCAUUUGUCACCAUCAACUCCGGCUGCCUUUCUAGCAACCAGCCACGACGCUACAGCUUCCAUCAAAAGCACCGCUUUCCCUGUGUUUUUUUUUUUCAAUGACUUUUCUUUUGUUCUUGAUAUGUCCAUUCAUCAAUCACCUAUUUGAAGUUAGUGAAUGCAGCGUCAUCUUCACCGUCAUCUUCACCAGUAAACGGGAUGCCAACAGAUGAUUUCAUAUGCUGCAACAAAUCCUGCUUGGCAGCAAGAAGCUCAUGGCACUGCUCUUUCAAGGUUUAGGUCACACCAACUGUAGCAAGCAAGCCAAUCUCAGAAGCACCUAAUAUUUCUCCAGAUGUUAAGACCACUACAUCUUUCUCAAUAUCAACUCCCACUGGUCGUAUAUCAUUGCCUUGAGUAGUUGUGACCAAUAUUCUAACGCGUGGAGACUUUUCUUCACCAUUGUUGACAUUUCAGCAUCUUCAACUUGACCAACUGCAUCAGCGCCAUCAGGUAUAGGUUCUUCGAUCAGAGCCAGCCCCCACAGCAACUGUAUCACUUACUGUAAGAAUAGCCACUCUGACGUCAGCACCCCCAUAAGAAUCUGUAGUUAUUUUAUCUGAUUUAAUUGCUGGCAAAGCAAAGGUUGAUUAUGAUGAUAUAUGCUUCUUGCCAAAAGCCACGGGUCUUAGGUUAGAAAUUAUGAUAGUUGCAACAGGAGUCCUAGCAGAUACAACACUGCUUGUUGCUGGAAACUCCAAUAAGGCAUUAGCUGACGUCAUACUAAGUAGUUGACUGCUCCUCUGGUGACCGGUGCUCUCGACGACAAAACCAGGGCUGCCUGUUCCAUCAUUGUCGGUCCACAUAACAGUGGCACGAUGAUAUUCUGGUCAAAAGGGAUAUGUCUUUAUGGGCUGUUGAAGUCGAGCUUGCCCUCUCAGAUGAUGAGGAUUUAUCCACCCUGCAACCCGACGUAUAGCAGGGACCACAGAGAGAUGAAAGCAAACUGAAGAGCUGACAAGAUUUCCAGUUAGAAGAAUGUUAAUUCCAGAAGCAAAAGCCUUAUCCAAGAUCCUUCCUUGGCAUUCUUCAUCAUCCUUAGCGAUACCACGGUCCACAACUUUGCAGUGAUGCUGUACUGCAGCUACCAGCAGCAUGGCAUGAUUAGAGUCCCUGAUCUGACCACGACUUAGAUGCACAGUAGAUGGCUCUACAAGCUCAUCUCCAGUAGAAAGAACAGCAACAGUUGAAGUAGGAUACACCUUUACCGUCGCCAACCAACAUUGCACACACUGUCACGCGCGUCCAUCUUCUCUAUGUUUAGAUCUUACGUGCCUCCACCAAAUUUGUGCGUGAGAAUGCAUGCACCUGUCUCCGGCCCCCCUCUGCAGGUUUUUCAUGAUGUGAUGUACUGGUCGUGCCUUUAUCUCCCUGAAGCAUGCCGCUCUCUCCUAGAAACAUAUUCAAGUUUAAAUAUUUUGAGUCUCCAAUAUUAUUGUUUUGAAGCUUCGAAAUGCAGUCUUUUAGAAGAACGGAACUUGCUUUGUUCAAUUGCUUGCCAUGAAUUUCUCUCAGACUGAUGAUCAAUCAGGCUAUCUGGCUAGGCUAUAUUUAUUGCAAUUCUCUCCGCCUUCAAAUGCAUCCCUGAGUUGCCUUUCCAUCUUUUUUAUUAUUUUGUGGAGCAAAACAUUGUUUUCUUGUAGCAAGCUAAAGUUAGCUUUAGCUUGAGGGGGAGUGUUGCACCAUUGCCGCUUGGACGUUUUGUCAAUAGGAGGAGGGAGUGUUUGAGUAACAGAAGUAGAAUCACCGGGUCAUUAGGUGGGGGAACAGAUGGGCCAGAAUCGCUAGUACAUUGUUCAUUCGUCAUUUCAGAUUCAGCUUGGUUAUCGUCUUCAGAUUGUGAAGAUUGACUAUUACUACUUUCACCUUGAGCACAUAAGAAUUCAGCAUCAAAUUCUUUGCCGGUUUGUCAUGUUCUUUGUUGUCAUCAUAAGGAGUCUGUUGCUAAGAUUGUAGCCUUGCGUUCCGAAGUUUCAAUGCUUGAACAUUAUCAAGAGCAAACUCCACUAUCGACCGAUGUUCAAGACCAAAAGUUUCAGGCUUAGAAACACCUGAAACCUUGUCAGACUCCUUAGAUACUUUACUAUUUGUAUCGUGAACCUUUCUUGCAAUAUCUGUUUUCUUGUCAAAAUCAUCUUCAGAAGGAACAUCUUCCACUACGAUACCAUCGGUAUCACUAUCAUCUCCAUGAUCAGAUUGUUUGUCAACAUGCUCGACAUCAUCCUCAGUACCUGCUGAGAUUGUAGCCUUGCGUUCCGAAGUUUCAAUGCUUGAACAUUAUCAAGAGCAAACUCCACUAUCGACCGAUGUUCAAGACCAAAAGUUUCAGGCUUAGAAACACCUGAAACCUUGUCAGACUCCUUAGAUACUUUACUAUUUGUAUCGUGAACCUUUCUUGCAAUAUCUGUUUUCUUGUCAAAAUCAUCUUCAGAAGGAACAUCUUCCACUACGAUACCAUCGGUAUCACUAUCAUCUCCAUGAUCAGAUUGUUUGUCAACAUGCUCGACAUCAUCCUCAGUACCCAGUCAACAACUAUGAGACGAGUCCCAAACUAUGAUCCAUUGAGUUUUCGAAUGUCACUUUCAUUGUGGCCCUUGCUUCCGCAUAAAACUACCACACUUUAUUGUGGUCCUUUUGGCGCUUUCAUUGCGGUUUCUAUUUCUUAGCCACCUUCAUUGUGGCCCUUUUUGCUGCCUUCAUUCCAGCAACUUGAGAUUUCUUUUUGGCCUAAUUUGCACUCUAAUAACUCCUCCCAUGACAACCUUGCAGAUCUUCUAACUAAAGGGUUAAACAUUAGCAACUUUGAAAGAAUUAUAUUCAAGCAGGGAAUAGAGAACACCUAUUCACCAGCUUGAGGGGGAGUGUCAAAAUAUGUUUCUGUUUAAUAUCCCUCAAGUAUAGGGAUUCAGUUGAAUAGGAGUACUAGUAGGGAUUCAGUUAUAUAGGAGUACUAGUAGGGAUUUAGUUAUAUAUGAGUAUUAACAGGGAUUCAGUUAUAUAGGAGUACUAAUAGGGAUUUAGUUAUAUAUGAGUAAUCAUAAGAUUUUGUUGUUUAGUAAUCUAGUAUAAAUAUAUCUGAUGUAUUACCAAUAUAUUUCAAGUUUCAAUAAAUAUAAUUUUAUUCUAAUUCUUGACAGAAACCAUCAUAGUCAAAUCACUGAUGAGGUCGUGCAUUUCAAAGAUUGUUUCCCUAUCACCAGACCUUCGAUGUAUGAGCGACCUUGACACCAAUUCAUCAAAAUAUUCUUCACCUAGUGUUUCCCAACUUUUCUGACUUUUGGGCUGACUUACUAAGCCUUCUGCAAUUCACAACUGAACUAUCGUAUUUCUUUCUAGGGAGACUUCUUUGGAAAUAUAGAACAAUAAGGAAAACAUCUUUUUAAAGAAGCAGGAAGGUAAUGAUAACUCAAUUGAAGAGCUGGUUUGACCUUAAUAUUCGGCAAAUCCCAAAUGUUACUUUCCAAUACCUUAUCCAAUCAUGUGGCGACGAUUUAGUGUGAAGAAGACCACCAAGUGCUACUGCAGCCAAUGGUAAACCAUCACAUUUUUUGGCAAUUUCUUUGCCAAUCACUUCUAGGUUGGUCCAUUGCUCGUAGUUACUUGCUCCAAAUGCAUGUUUGGCAAGCAAAGACCAGCAAUAGUCACUUUGUAGAGGUUCCAGUGUGUGGAUUGGAAGAAAGGUUUGCAUGGCUCGUGCAACUUUAUGAUCCCUUGUGGUGAUGAUGAUCUUACUUCCCAGAUCCCUAACAUUAAAGAUGUCUUUAGAUCACUCCAAACAACAUAGUUUUCGUCCCAUAUGUCAUCCAAUACUAACAAAAACUUUUUAUGACUUAAACUUUGUCAUCCAAUACCAAUGUAGUGACAGAUUCAAGAAGGGUUUAGUGACCUUGACAACAUCAAAAUCUUUUGCGAUGUAAGCCCACCCUUUUAAAUCAAAUUUGGCCUUAACUUCUGGAUCAUUAUAAAGGAGUUUAGCUAGGGAUCGUCUUUUCGGAUUUUAAGACAUUGAUUCCCACAAGUAAACCAAUUAGUCUGUUAAUUAACUAAUUAUUAACUAAUUAACUAAUUUCAAAUCUACAGACAAUGUUAAUUAACUAAUUAUUAACUCAAUUAGUAAAUAAAUAAAUCAUAAAGAUGUAAGAUAUUAAGAAUGAAUUGAGAUUGUAGGUCUGAAUGAAGGAUAGGCGAGAAAUGCAUCGUACUCGUGGCGGAGAGGUUGAGGUUGUUGCUGUAAUUGGCGGCGGUGAGCAAAUCAGUGAGAUAGCUUCUAGGUAACCGCCGUGGAUGUUGAAGUGAGAGCUUCGAAUCCGUACAUUUCCGGCGGCGUCCGAACCAAAUGCGGCGAGAUGAGGCUUCCUGCCUCCCCUUGCAACGACAUGGCGCGGCUGUCUUUUCCGCCGCAGAUCCUUGCCGCGACGGUGAACCACACCGUUCAAUGUGACGAUUACGAUUUUUU
rnacentral:lncRNA from 1 species